rnacentral:lncRNA from 1 species
ACACACACACACACACACCACAUUGUGUUUAUUCAAACCAUUUGAAACAUUUUUUAAAAAUUAUUUAUGUGGUGCUCAAUAGAGGGAUGUGUGAGGGAUGUUGCCUUCUGGGUGAUGCUCACCAGUGAUGGGUCAGUUCAGAGGUACCUGGUCUACGUGUUCCUGCUUCUAGAUGCCCAUCUCUUGGCUGAAAGGAGGAAGACUAUGCGUUCGGGGUCAUUCAGUGAAUGUGCCUUUCCUAGCUGCCUUGCUCCCGUAAGUCCAUAUAGUGGACAGGGCAGAUGUAUUCAGGAGAGGUAGUUAGUCUACUGUGGCUACUGAGCUCAAUUCUGAAGCUGUUUGCCUUGCUUCAAGUGGGAAGCACAUGAAACACAGUAGGCAGCCACUGGGACAUUUAACUCAGAACCUGGAGGAUGCUGGGAGCAGAGGAGUUAAGGGUGAGGAUACGUCACAGUGAGAGACUUUGCAAUCAUGAGCAGGAUUCCAUUGGGAUUGCAUCUGAACAACACCUACUACUUCUGGUUCCUCCUCCUUCUCUUCCUCUUCUUUUUAACUAUUCUGUUUCAUUGGAAGAAAUAAGCAGUUGAGUUACGAAGUAGCAUGAGGAGAUUGCUCCAAAUCUGAAUUCCUGGCUUUCCUGGGGUCUCAGAUUUUUAAGUCUGGAAAAUUGUGAUGUGUGCAGCUCGAAAUAUUUCAAAUGUGAAUCUCUUGCUUCUGUUUCUCUUUUGGAGUCACUAGUUUCUUUAGGGCAUUGAAUUAUUCAAGUAAAAGUCUGUACUCAAGUUAAUACAAACCUACAGACUUACCCCAGCUAAGUGAUCUUGUUAAAGGCAAAAUGCCUGUUGUCUUAAUGUAAUACAAAAUGGGUUCAAACCCUGUUGUUUUCAUCACAGAAUCUGACCUGUAGCUAGAAUGGUACUUUGUUCAACUUGACAGGAAUUACUGGCAGCCAUCUUCUCCUUUCCACCCAGCUGUACUCUAAUUGCGAUUGACUUUGGGGACAUGAUCUUUUGCAAUCUUUAUUAUUCUAAUUAUUUAAUUAUUAAAUCUUUACUAAGGGACAAUGUGGUAAAACUGUUGGAGAAUAGGGAAAUGUGAAUAAAAUUAUAUUUGACAUCAAUUUACAUGGUAAGAAGUUUGCCUUUAAUAAUAAGAUUGCCCUAAUUUCUAUCUUCAUGAGGCAGUCAAUAUAUUGAACAUGAAAUGCAAUAUAGCUAAAGUGGAUUUACAUAAUAAUGAAAUUGACACUAAUGCGAGGAGACCUGCCUUGGUCAUGGCCACAUGCUUCACAAUGACACGUGCUCGUCUGUGCUGCACCAGUAGCUCCUGUAACUGUCACCUCCCAGGAAGUCUCCUUGUCUCUCAUAAAUAGUACAGUUGAAGUGGAUCUGAGUAAACCCAGAUUAACGUAAUUUAAUCACCUAUUAGUGGUUUAAUUUUUUUUAAUUAUUAGCCUGCAAAGUUUGGAUUUUUGUUAACUUACUAAGUAAGUGCACUAAACAGGCCUGGGUGGCUGCUGAGUGCUUAGUAGAUGUCAGCCAUUUUUACUGUUUUGCAAACUAAAGGUAGGCUAACCUAACUCUUUGUCUAUCUCCACUUAUCCUCUCUCGGUCUGUGUAGUAUGUGUACAUAUAUACAUAUAGCAUACAUGUAUAUGUGUACAUGUACAUAUAUGUUGUAUAUACCAUAUAAUCUACUUGUACAUAUAUAUGUACAUGUAUCUGCUCCCUGCUUUAUUUUUUUGUCCAAAAGGGUACUUUGUUCCUAUUCUCCCUAUUGCAUUUGAACAAGUGGGAAUUUUGAUCCUUCAUUUCUGGGAAAGAAAAAUCCAUCCCAGUGAUGAGAUGGGGCCAUCCUGAUAGCCCACGUCCUGGAAGGAUGAUGUGUAGAAAGAAGUCCAGCCUUGGGUUUGCUCUAGUCCCCUGUCUCUCCACACAGAUCAUAGCUCCGAGUCUGAGGUAAGGAAUUGCCUCUUUACUGAAUUGUAUGUACUCAGGUUGAAUUGCUAAGCAUUAAAUUUGGGCCAGGAUGAGAUGGGACCGUAGAGUUGGCUCAGUAGAUAGAAAUCCUUGUUGCUUUUUGCAGAGGAACUAGAUUUGACACAUGACAGCUCACAACCAGCUGUAACUCCAGUCCCAAGGGAUGUGAUGCCCCCUUCUGACCUCUAAAGCACCAGGAACAUAUGUGACACAAGACAAUAAAUAUACCUG